rnacentral:tRNA from 1 species
CGGGGUGUAGUCUACCGGUAGUACGAAUGCAUGGGUUGCAUGUAGACCGGGUUCAAUUCCCGGCACCCCGACCA